AACGAACGCUGGCGGCAGGCUUAACACAUGCAAGUCGAGCGCCCCGCCAGGGGAGCGGCAGACGGGUGAGUAACGCGUGGGAACGUACCUUUUGGUUCGGAACAACUCCGGGAAACUGGAGCUAAUACCGGAUAAGCCCUAACGGGGAAAGAUUUAUCGCCGAAAGAUCGGCCCGCGUCUGAUUAGCUAGUUGGUGAGGUAACGGCUCACCAAGGCGACGAUCAGUAGCUGGUCUGAGAGGAUGAUCAGCCACACUGGGACUGAGACACGGCCCAGACUCCUACGGGAGGCAGCAGUGGGGAAUAUUGGACAAUGGGCGCAAGCCUGAUCCAGCCAUGCCGCGUGAGUGAUGAAGGCCUUAGGGUUGUAAAGCUCUUCUGUCCGGGAAGAUAAUGACUGUACCGGAAGAAUAAGCCCCGGCUAACUUCGUG
rnacentral:rRNA from 1 species